rnacentral:rRNA from 1 species
GUGGGGAAUAUUGGACAAUGGGGGGAACCCUGAUCCAGCCAUGCCGCGUGUGUGAAGAAGGCCUUUUGGUUGUAAAGCACUUUAAGCGAGGAGGAGGCUACCGAGAUUAAUACUCUUGGAUAGUGGACGUUACUCGCAGAAUAAGCACCGGCUAACUCUGUGCCAGCAGCCGCGGUAAUACAGAGGGUGCGAGCGUUAAUCGGAUUUACUGGGCGUAAAGCGUGCGUAGGCGGCUUUUUAAGUCGGAUGUGAAAUCCCCGAGCUUAACUCGGGAAUUGCAUUCGAUACUGGGAAGCUAGAGUAUGGGAGAGGAUGGUAGAAUUCCAGGUGUAGCGGUGAAAUGCGUAGAGAUCUGGAGGAAUACCGAUGGCGAAGGCAGCCAUCUGGCCUAAUACUGACGCUGAGGUACGAAAGCAUGGGGAGCAAACAGGAUUAGAAACCCGGGUAGUCC